UACGGAGGAUGCAAGCGUUAUCCGGAAUUAUUGGGCGUAAAGCGUCCGCAGGUGGCUUUGUAAGUCUGCUGUUAAAGAGUGAGGCUCAACCUCAUAAGAGCAGUGGAAACUACAAGGCUAGAGUACGUUCGGGGCAGAGGGAAUUCCUGGUGUAGCGGUGAAAUGCGUAGAGAUCAGGAAGAACACCGGUGGCGAAAGCGCUCUGCUAGGCCGUAACUGACACUGAGGGACGAAAGCUAGGGGAGCGAAUGGG
rnacentral:rRNA from 1 species